rnacentral:rRNA from 1 species
AGAGUUUGAUCCUGGCUCAGGAUGAACGCUGGCGGCAUGCCUAAUACAUGCAAGUCGAACGAAGUCUCUAGGAAGCUUGCUUCCAAAGAGACUUAGUGGCGAACGGGUGAGUAACACGUAGGUAACCUGCCCAUGUGUCCGGGAUAACUGCUGGAAACGGUAGCUAAAACCGGAUAGGUAUACAGAGCGCAUGCUCAGUAUAUUAAAGCGCCCUUCAAGGCGUGAACAUGGAUGGACCUGCGGCGCAUUAGCUAGUUGGUGAGGUAACGGCCCACCAAGGCGAUGAUGCGUAGCCGGCCUGAGAGGGUAAACGGCCACAUUGGGACUGAGACACGGCCCAAACUCCUACGGGAGGCAGCAGUAGGGAAUUUUCGUCAAUGGGGGAAACCCUGAACGAGCAAUGCCGCGUGAGUGAAGAAGGUCUUCGGAUCGUAAAGCUCUGUUGUAAGUGAAGAACGGCUCAUAGAGGAAAUGCUAUGGGAGUGACGGUAGCUUACCAGAAAGCCACGGCUAACUACGUGCCAGCAGCCGCGGU